rnacentral:rRNA from 1 species
CGCGUAGGUGGCCAAUUAAGUCUGAUGUGAAAGCCCACGGCUCAACCGUGGAGGGUCAUUGGAAACUGGAGAACUUGAGUACAGAAGAGGAAAGCGGAAUUCCACGUGUAGCGGUGAAAUGCGUAGAGAUGUGGAGGAACACCAGUGGCGAAGGCGGCUUUCUGGUCUGUAACUGACGCUGAGGCGCGAAAGCGUGGGGAGCAAACAGGAUUAGAUACCCCAGUA